UGGAUCAAUGAUGACUGUUGGUGCCGUCUGAGUCACGGUUAAUCAAUAUGUGUCUGGAACUCUGAGGUCCAC